GAUGAACGCUGGCGGCGUGCCUAAUACAUGCAAGUCGAGCGAACAGAUGAGGAGCUUGCUCCUCUGACGUUAGCGGCGGACGGGUGAGUAACACGUGGAUAACCUACCUAUAAGACUGGGAUAACUUCGGGAAACCGGAGCUAAUACCGGAUAAUAUAUUGAACCGCAUGGUUCAAUAGUGAAAGACGGUUUUGCUGUCACUUAUAGAUGGAUCCGCGCCGCAUUAGCUAGUUGGUAAGGUAACGGCUUACCAAGGCAAUGAUGCGUAGCCGACCUGAGAGGGUGAUCGGCCACACUGGAACUGAGACACGGUCCAGACUCCUACGGGAGGCAGCAGUAGGGAAUCUUCCGCAAAGGGCGAAAGCCUGACGGAGCAACGCCGCGUGAGUGAUGAAGGUCUUCGGAUCGUAAAACUCUGUUAUUAGGGAAGAACAAAUGUGUAAGUAACUAUGCACGUCUUGACGGUACCUAAUCAGAAAGCCACGGCUAACUACGUA
rnacentral:rRNA from 1 species